rnacentral:rRNA from 1 species
UACAGAGGUCUCAAGCGUUGUUCGGAUUCAUUGGGCGUAAAGGGUGCGUAGGCGGCGCGGUAAGUCGGGUGUGAAAUCUCGGGGCUUAACUCCGAAACUGCAUUCGAUACUGCCGUGCUUGAGGACUGGAGAGGAGACUGGAAUUUACGGUGUAGCGGUGAAAUGCGUAGAUAUCGUAAGGAAGACCAGUGGCGAAGGCGGGUCUCUGGACAGUUCCUGACGCUGAGGCACGAAGGCGAGGGGAGCAAACGGG